AAACUUUCAGCGAAUGGAUGUCU
rnacentral:rRNA from 1 species